UUCACCCAGUAGCUGGACUCACCAUCAUGGAACUUCUGCUUCUGUCUUGAAAUGUCUGGGCCACAGGUUCUACAGACUGUGUACUGGGGAGUCUACCUGCGUGUAUUUGGAGGGAAAGUUGGAGGCCGUGGAAGGUCCUGGAGAGGCAGAUAAAUAACUCUAGGCACCCAAAAAGCAACAGGGGCUGUGAAAAGACACUGGAUGGUAAUGAUCUUUUUAACCU
rnacentral:lncRNA from 1 species